UACGGGGGGGGCAAGCGUUGUCCGGAUUUAUUGGGCGUAAAGAGCUCGUAGGCGGUUCAGUAAGUCAGGUGUGAAAUCUUUGGGCUUAACCCAAAGCGUGCACUUGAUACUGCUGUGACUUGAGUUCGGUAGGGGAGUGGGGAAUUCCUAGUGUAGCGGUGAAAUGCGCAGAUAUUAGGAGGAACACCGGUGGCGAAGGCGGUUCUCUGGGCAUGUCCUGACGCUGAGGAGCGAAAGUGUGGGGAGCGAACAGG
rnacentral:rRNA from 1 species